GUAGGUGAACCUGCGGAAGGAUCAUUAAUAAUGCUCUCUGGCUUCGGUCAGCUGAGUUCAAUGAGUGCCUUCUCUUCGGAGUUGGCCAUCCACACACACCGUGAACUGUGGCUUCGGCCAUCACAAACUGUUAGUAAUGAAUGUAAUAUCAUAACAAAAACAAAACUUUUAACAACGGAUCUCUUGGCUCUC
rnacentral:misc_RNA from 1 species